rnacentral:misc_RNA from 1 species
GUAACAAGUUGGGUAUGAUUGAUAUUUAUGCUUAAACUUGAGAGGGAGUGUUUUAUAAGUCUAUCCUGUGAAGAGUCCUGUAUACAGAAAUUUUCUUAGUUUGUGAGGAUUCCUAACUAGUAUAGGUUUCCUAUCUAAUGCAGUAAUCUUUGUAUAUAAAUACUCGUGUACUCUUAGUUGAAGAAAUACAGAAAAACUACCUCUCUUCACAGUUUUUUCAUUUUUAGAAAUCUGAAUCUAAUAUAUCAGAAAUUUUAAUAUAUAAACCAAAUCAACUUACGUAAUAAACCAAAUUGAAUUCCUCAAUUAAAU